UCCUAGCCCUGAUUGCAGUGGAAAUCCUUUUUUUUGUCCUUUUUUGGACAUAAAAAAAGAUUGAAACGUAAAGCAGGAUAAAGC
rnacentral:sRNA from 1 species